rnacentral:rRNA from 1 species
GAUGAACGCUAGCUACAGGCUUAACACAUGCAAGUCGAGGGGUAGCAGGGUAGCAAUACCGCUGACGAUCGGCGCACGGGUGAGUAACACGUAUCCAACCUUCCCAUAACUCGGGGAUAGCCUUUCGAAAGAAAGAUUAAUACCCGAUAGUACUUAACAAAGGCAUCUUUGAUAAGUUAAAGAUUUAUUGGUUAUGGAUGGGGUUGCGUUCCAUUAGAUAGUUGGUGAGGUAACGGCUCACCAAGUCUUCGAUGGAUAGGGGUUCUGAGAGGAAGGUCCCCCACAUUGGUACUGAGACACGGACCAAACUCCUACGGGAGGCAGCAGUGAGGAAUAUUGGUCAAUGGGCGAGAGCCUGAACCAGCCAAGUAGCGUGAAGGAUGAAGGUCCUAUGGAUUGUAAACUUCUUUUAUAGUAGAAUAAAGUGAUCCACGUGUGGAUUUUUGUAUGUAUACUAUGAAUAAGGAUCGGCUAACUCCGUGCCAGCCGCCGCGGUAA